CAAUAGCGUAUAUUAAAGUUGUUGCAGUUAAAAAGCUCGUAGUUGAACUUCAGACCUGGCCGGGCGGUCCGCCUAACGGUGUGUACUGUCUGGCUGGGUCUUACCUCUUGGUGAGCCGGCAUGCCCUUCACUGGGUGUGUCGGGGAACCAGGACUUUUACCUUGAGAAAAUUAGAGUGUUCAAAGCAGGCAUAUGCCCGAAUACAUUAGCAUGGAAUAAUAAAAUAGGACGUGCGGUUCUAUUUUGUUGGUUUCUAGAGUCGCCGUAAUGAUUAAUAGGGAUAGUUGGGGGCAUUAGUAUUCAGUUGCUAGAGGUGAAAUUCUUGGAUUUACUGAAGACUAACUACUGCGAAAGCAUUUGCCAAGGAUGUUUNCAUUAA
rnacentral:rRNA from 1 species